rnacentral:rRNA from 1 species
AAAUUGAAGAGUUUGAUCAUGGCUCAGAUUGAACGCUGGCGGCAGGCCUAACACAUGCAAGUCGAACGGUAACAGGAAGAAGCUUGCUUCUUUGCUGACGAGUGGCGGACGGGUGAGUAAUGUCUGGGAAACUGCCUGAUGGAGGGGGAUAACUACUGGAAACGGUAGCUAAUACCGCAUAACGUCGCAAGACCAAAGAGGGGGACCUUCGGGCCUCUUGCCAUCGGAUGUGCCCAGAUGGGAUUAGCUAGUAGGUGGGGUAACGGCUCACCUAGGCGACGAUCCCUAGCUGGUCUGAGAGGAUGACCAGCCACACUGGAACUGAGACACGGUCCAGACUCCUACGGGAGGCAGCAGUGGGGAAUAUUGCACAAUGGGCGCAAGCCUGAUGCAGCCAUGCCGCGUGUAUGAAGAAGGCCUUCGGGUUGUAAAGUACUUUCAGCGG